CACUUCGAAAAAUCGUAUAGCACCUAUCAAACCGACGACUAUUCCUCGAUUGGAAUUGUGCGGUGCCCUGUUAGGUACGAGAUUGUGCACUAAGGAACCUGAUAUUCCUUCUGAGUUCGCCAACGAAGAAAAAGACCAAGUGGCACACUUCCCAUGGUGCCAUAUCAGUGGGCACGCUCGUGCUCAUCAGG